rnacentral:lncRNA from 1 species
UAGCAAAAGAAGCCAACACUUAUUUAGUCACUUUCACCUCCCCAUAUUUCUGCAACCACUGUAACUUAUAGAGAUUAAGAUGUCUAAUGCAUUUCAAGCUCAAUUUAUUAACAAGUGUAGUAUUAGCAACAUUGGUAUAACUGCCCUCACAGAUAAUUAGACUACCAAUUUCUUAUCCACAAUGCAAAAGGUAUGGAAGAUAUUUUAUCUUUAGUUAUCUUCCUCCUUUGCUUG